rnacentral:tRNA from 1 species
UUUAUAUACAAUAAUCGCAUUGUAGCGGGGUAUAGUUUAGUGGGUAAAA